rnacentral:tRNA from 1 species
GCGGUUGUGGCGGAAUGGCAGACGCGCUAGGUUGAGGGCCUAGUGGGAGUUAAAUCCCGUGGAGGUUCAAGUCCUCUCAACCGCA